GACGAACGCUGGCGGCGUGCUUAACACAUGCAAGUCGAACGAGAAUCUACGGAUCGAGGAUUCGUCCAAGAGAAGUAGAGGACAGUGGCGGACGGGUGAGUAACGCGUGAGGAACCUGCCUUUCAGAGGGGGACAACAGUUGGAAACGACUGCUAAUACCGCAUGACACAUUGGAGUCGCAUGGCUCUGAUGUCAAAGAUUUAUCGCUGAAAGAUGGCCUCGCGUCUGAUUAGCUAGUUGGUGAGGUAACGGCCCACCAAGGCGACGAUCAGUAGCCGGACUGAGAGGUUGACCGGCCACAUUGGGACUGAGAUACGGCCCAGACUCCUACGGGAGGCAGCAGUGGGGAAUAUUGGGCAAUGGGCGCAAGCCUGACCCAGGCAACGCCGCGUGAAGGAA
rnacentral:rRNA from 1 species